AAAUUACCCACUCUCUGAACGAGGAGGUAGUGAAGAUAAAUAUCGAUACAGAACUCAAUUGAGGCUCUGUAAUCGAAAUGAGUGCAAUAUAAAUCCUACAACGAGGAUCUAUUGGAGGGCAAGUCUGGUGCCAGCAGCCGCGGUAACUCCAGCUCCAAUAGCGUAUAUUAAAGUUGCUGCAGUUAAAAAGCUCGUAGUUGGAUCUGGGCCAUGUAGUGAUUGUCGGUUUUGGUGUUUCAAACUAACGUGUGUCGUGCCUGGCCGGUAUAUUUGCUCAUGGCUUCGCAGCUGUGUCCUUUUGUCUUCGGGCAAUUGGAUGGUAUUGGGUGUUAGCCCUUGCCCCUUUUUUGGGGGGCGGGGGCAGCUCAGUACCAUGUUCUGUUGAUGCUCUUAACCGGGUGUCCGGAACUCUCAGCACGUUUACUUUGAACAAAUUUGAGUGCUCAAAGCAGGCCGCUUGUUGCCUGAAAAUUCUUGCAUGGAAUAAUGGAAUAGGACUUUGGUCCUAUUUUGUUGGUUUGAUAGAACCGAAGUAAUGAUAAACAGAGACAGACGGGGGCAUUUGUAUGGCGGCGCUAGAGGUGAAAUUCGUGGACCGUCGCCAGACAAACUAAAGCGAAAGCAUCUGCCAAGUAUGUUUUCAUUUACCAGGAGCGAAAGUCAGAGGUUCGAAGACGAUCAGAUACCGUCCUAGUUCUGACCAUAAACGAUGCCAACUGAUGAUCCGUGGUGUUUACUAUACAUGAACCCACGGGCAGUCUCCGGGAAACCUGU
rnacentral:rRNA from 1 species